rnacentral:rRNA from 1 species
CAGCCGCCGCGGUAAUACGUAGGUGGCAAGCGUUGUCCGGAUUUAUUGGGCGUAAAGCGAGCGCAGGCGGUCAAUUAAGUCUGAUGUGAAAGCCCCCGGCUCAACCGGGGAGGGUCAUUGGAAACUGGGAAACUUGAGUGCAGAAGAGGAGAGUGGAAUUCCACGUAUAGCGGUGAAAUGCGUAGAGAUGUGGAGGAACACCAGUGGCGAAGGCGACUCUCUGGUCUGUAACUGACGCUGAGGAGCGAAAGCGUGGGGAGCGAACAGGAUUAGAUACCCCUGUAGUCCCUGUCUCUUAUAC